ensembl:lncRNA
CGGGUCCCAGCAGGGUCGGCCCGGCUCGCCCGUCCCAGCCCAGCUCCGGCCCCGCCCGGCCCCGCCCUCUCCCCACAGCUCGGGGCAGACCCGCCCGCUGGAGCCGGAGUUACAAGAGCCGCCUCCGCGCGCAGGGGCCCGGCCACUCGGAGCAGCUCCGCCGCGGGGACUGCACCGCCCGCCCUGCCGGACCCGCCCCGACCGGGGCUCGCCGCCUGCAGCAGCCUCAGCACCGCGACCUCGGGCCCCGCGCCGGCUAUGGCUGUGCCCUGGGGCUGAGCGCGCAGGUAGGGGCCUCCUGCGCACCUUGGCGCGAUCGGGGAACGCGACGCCGGGAACGCGGGAGGGGAGGUGGGUGGCAGGACUUGGGCGAAGCGCUUUGGGUGGGUGUCACUGUGAAGGCUCAACUUGGAGCAAGGUGGGCAGCCCCGGGCCGCCACCGGGAGGCCAAGCGUAGUGCCCUGGGAAAGGAGCUCCGCCUCUGGAGUUGGGGCGUUGGAAGGGGCGCAAGUUGGGCAAAGUCGGAAAAUCGCUCCGAGGCGCCGUUUGCUCCAGUCCGUCUGUCUCUCGAGGGCUGAUCGUUAUCCCUGCUGCACGGCCGGGCUCCGGUUUUUUGCCCGGUAACCCUGUCCCACCCCCUCCUUCUCCAUGGGGCGGUGGCUCGGCGAGCUGCUCUGUGCCUAUUCCGUGUUUACUGGAGAAGUUUCCGAGAUCGCGGCGCGGCCUCUCGGCCCCUCCCGGCGCCCCUGCGCCCCCGCGCCGCGCACCCCGUCCGCCGUCCCUCCCCGCGCCCCACACCUCCGCCCCUGACUUCGCGUCCCGAGUCCUCGGGGCCCCACCCAGUUCUGCACCACCAGCCUCUCCCUUUCUGGCUCCCGGCGGCCCCUCAGCCACCCUUCGGCUGCCCCGCCCUAGUCUUGCCCCUCUGUGUUCCCAGCUCCAGAAAAAAUCCCUUCUUCCUCUAGGGCGGCGGAGCCGGGAAGUUUGCAGCGCGCCCCGCGGCGGGACUGGUGGGAGUGGGGGUGGGGGACAUAACUGGGGAGAUUCUUGCACUGGGGGUGGGCGGGGAGUGGGGCUGUGCAGCGGCGCUGCCCUCGGGACCGCCCCUUCCCCUUCAGAGGCGGCGCUCUCUCCCCAACCCCACUCCCAAACCCGUCCGGGCGGGAUGGCCCCCGCCCCAGCGCCUGGCUCAGCGCCAGCAGCCUGAGGAAUGUGGUGGUUGGAGCCGGUGACUAAUUCAAACCAGAACUCGGGGAGGAGUGGCGAGGGGUAAAGGGGAGGGGGGCGACGGGGCUUGUGUGGGAGGCGGGGGCCGGAGUCCGGCGGGCGUAGGAGGAGGAGGGCUCAACUCCCCUCCUCGGACCCCUCCGCUCCCGCGGCGCGCUCUUGGGGCGACGGCGGAGGGGCGAGGUCCUGCUGGGGAGUUGGAAGGUCUCCGGGCUUAGGGUGUGUUCGGAGAGCUGUGUUAUAUAAGGCUUUCCCAUGCCGGGAGAGGGUGUGCAGUGCGCGAGGGCUGGCCCUCCGCUGGCGGGCUCGGUGCCCCCUGCAGUGCCAGGGCCCCGGGAUGCGGGGGCGCAGCCCUUUGGCGUCGCUAGCCACGAGGGACACCAGAGUCAGCCAGUUGAGGGGGAUGUAACUGCAGGUCCAGGGCUCAAAGUGGGACCCAAAGAAGUGACUCCUGGGAGACCUGUGAAGGGAGAUGGCCAUCAUUGGGUCAAGGGCAGGGAAUGGGUUGGGAGGUCCUGGGGUCACCUUCGUCCCAGGAAGGCCUUGGCUGGGAGUUCCCGGGGCACCACCGACCUGGAUUCCUAGGCUCAGUUGGAAGGGGCUGGCUGGCCCUGGCCGAGCACACCACCCCGAGCUUGAGGAGCUGGUUUGAGAGGUUGGGGCGAAGCUGUGGAGCUGGAGGAGUGUGUGGGUCUCUGGGGCGUGGCCAUCACCUUCCUCAGCACUUGGGAACCGCCUGGGGUCAGGCAGAAGCAGACUGGGAGAGCUAGUCCGACUCCUGCUGGUAACUCUCCCCUGCUGACUCUCACCUCUGCACCACACCCAGGAAACCCCAGCUUUUCUCUCUCCCUGGAUCUGGG